rnacentral:rRNA from 1 species
GACGAACGCUGGCGGCGUGCUUAACACAUGCAAGUCGAACGAAGAGCGAUGGAAGCUUGCUUCUAUCAAUCUUAGUGGCGAACGGGUGAGUAACGCGUAAUCAACCUGCCCUUCAGAGGGGGACAACAGUUGGAAACGACUGCUAAUACCGCAUACGAUCCAAUCUCGGCAUCGAGGAUGGAUGAAAGGUGGCCUCUAUUUAUAAGCUAUCACUGAAGGAGGGGAUUGCGUCUGAUUAGCUAGUUGGAGGGGUAACGGCCCACCAAGGCGAUGAUCAGUAGCCGACGGGAGAGGGUGGUCGGCCAGACUGGAACUGAGCCGAGGCCCAGAGUCCUACGGGAGGCAGCAGUGGGGAAUCUUCCGCAAGGGGGGAAAGGAUGACGGAGCAACGCCGCGUGAGUGAUGAAGGUCUUCGGAUCGUAAAACUCUGUUAGGAGGGAAGAAAAGAUGUGUAAGUAAAGGUGCGCAGCUUGACGGUACCUAAUCAGAAAGCCACCGCUAACUACGUG